rnacentral:sRNA from 1 species
ACAGAGGUGCCCUGUGUGAUAUCGACAUGAAUGCAGUAGAAACCUCUGCCAAUUUUGAGGGGAAUGUUUCAAGCUGUCCUCAGAAAAUCUGUAUAGACAUAUUGCAGGCCUCAGGUCAUGGAGCUUCAGGUCAUGUUUGUAUCAGUCAACCUGGGUUCACAGACAGGACCCUAGAAUAACUGUCUUCUAAGAUGCUCUAACCAGCAGCUUGCCAAAACAGAUAUAGAGACUCUAGUUGAAGCUCCAAACAUCUGGUAAAAUAAAGUUUGUGGAAGGAUUGAAUACCAUGGAGGGAUACGAACCCCACAAGAAGACAAUCAAGGUCAACUAACUUAGAACCUUGGGGCUCCCAGACACUGAACCACCAACCAAAGAGCAUACUAGGGUUGAACCUAGGUCUUCCACACAUAUGUAGCAGAACCAAAUAUGCUCUACCUGUUGUGUCACUGCUGCAGCCAGAGUGCCUCCAGAACUGUCUCCUGAGAUAGCAAUUCGGGUAGGAUCUACUCCAUACUUGAAACAUCCAAUUAGACCAGCACUAUUUGUUGAAGAUGCUGAGAGUAUAUGAAGAAAGAACACUCUUCUGUUGCUGAUGGAACUGCAAACUUGCACAACGUCUCUGGAAUUCAAUCUAACAGUUUCUCAGAAAACCAGAAAUAUUUCUACUUGACAACCCAGCUAUACAACAAGAGGGGAUCACCUCUCAGAG